GCAGGUACGGCGAUAUGGGUCCCCAAUGACCAUCGUAGGCAAAAUCGUUGGCGCGGCAUCUGCUCAUUAUCUGGCUGGUCUGCUGCGUUCUGGUCAUAGCCCUGCCAGUCCCGGUCAUAGUGAGCAGC
rfam:Macrostomum lignano unitig_26884, whole genome shotgun sequence.